AACGAACGCUGGCGGCAGGCCUAACACAUGCAAGUCGAGCGCCCCGCAAGGGGAGCGGCAGACGGGUGAGUAACGCGUGGGAAUCUACCUAGUGGUACGGAAUAGCCCCGGGAAACUUGGAGUAAUACCGUAUAAGCCCGAAAGGGGAAAGAUUUAUCGCCAUUAGAUGAGCCCGCGUUGGAUUAGCUAGUUGGUGGGGUAACGGCCCACCAAGGCGACGAUCCAUAGCUGGUCUGAGAGGAUGAUCAGCCACACUGGGACUGAGACACGGCCCAGACUCCUACGGGAGGCAGCAGUGGGGAAUAUUGGACAAUGGGCGCAAGCCUGAUCCAGCCAUGCCGCGUGAGUGACGAAGGUCUUCGGAUUGUAAAGCUCUUUUGGCGGGGACGAUAAUGACGGUACCCGCAGAAUAAGCCCCGGCUAACUUCGUGCCAGCCGCCGCUGUAACAC
rnacentral:rRNA from 1 species